rnacentral:lncRNA from 1 species
CUCGCAGUUGGAUCCGCCGGGCUAAAAUUCCGGGGUGGGCGCGCUGCACCCUGGGACAUGUGGUUCUCCGAGGGGCACGGGCGGUUCCUGCGAUCUGGCUUUCCCUGGCGUCUUGCACCAGCCCUCCCUUUGUGGGUUGCAUAGUUCCCAGGAACCUGUCAGCUCUUUAGCCUUUUUCCUGCAAAUACAUUUCCGUGAGUGCCGGCUAGAUGAGGCUCACAUGGCCUCAGGUCCGUGCUGCACGCCAUAAGGAAUAGUAGUCCCUAAAUGCAUACGCUUUUGGAGUUGUCCUCUGCCCUCACCGAGAUUGCAAAACGUUAAAGGCAAAAAUGAAUCGAGCCUUUGACGGCAGUGUGCUGAGAGUUUUCCUUGUAAUCGCUCAUGUACUCUUGGCAACUUUAAUUGCAGCUGAGCUGCCUUUCUGGAAAGUUUCUUCCUUGAUUUCUAUCACCUUGCAUCAUCUGCUUUCCUCUCAGACGGACCAUUCAGGUAAACAACCCCUUCCAUGGAGUGAAUGGAAAGAUAAUGCUUCUCUUUACUUCAGUGUCCCUCCUUCUGCCUGAAAAAGCAAUUAUUCUGGAAGCAUGUGCCUGUCAAUUGGAUUACGUUACCUGGGAGGUGGGCUAAAAACAUCAUCUGGCUAAAAUGUUUGCAGAAAUACCAUCAACCCGCUGCCAUUGUGGAUCGUUAGCUUGCGAUCAACCCAAUGACUUUCCACUUGCAAUCCUUUUAUAUUUAUAAAGAUUCCAUAAACACCGUAUUGUGUCAUUUUAAUACUAACAAUUCAACCUCCCCCCCCCAAAGUAGUAAAAGCCUGUUUUUUCUAAGUUAAAAUUAAAAAGUCCCUAUGUCUUUGAAGGAGAGAGUCUCAUAUAGUAUAAAGAUGGUAAAAAAUAAAAGUCUUGAUCAUAGUUCGCA